ACGCCGCCUUCCCCCGACGCCCUCCCAACCCCCUCCCCUCCGCAGACCCAUCCAUCCCCGCCGCUCCUCGGAGGCCAGGGACGCCUCCCCUCGAUCCCCCUUCCUCCCCAUCCGCAGCGCCGCCCCUCCCCUCCAUCGCCUUCCUUCCCAUCCGCAGGCCGCAGAGCCGCCCCUCCCCUCCAUCGCCUUCCUCCCAAUUUGCUGGCCGCAUCGCCGACCCAGCUUGCCACUCAUGGACGGAUCGGCCGCGGGGCUGGAGGCGGCGGAGCGAGUGGUUAUGCGGUGGGACUCGGUCUCGGCGGGCACCGGCGGGAUCGAGCACAUGCUGUUCGAGGGCGCCGGCGACCGGGCCGAGGCGGACCGCUUCCUCCAAGCUGUCGACGACGUGCGCCGCCGUCGUCCGCCGCCGUCGUCCGCCGCCGUCGGGAGCCCGCGCCGCCUCACCUCGUCCUCUGCGGGGGGAUCCGGCGCCGAGCAGUUCCGCCACGUGCUCUCCUCCCGCGCGCUCGACGCGCUCGCCGACCUCAGCUCGCUCUCCAUUAGCACGACGUGAUGCCAACUGGAAGACGCGCCGCGGCGCCCCCAGCCCCCAACCCGGCCAGAUCAGGAUUUUGUCGAGGACCUCGUAAAGUCAGGGAAUGUAGUAGAGACUAUAUAUGCAGGUCCUGAGGCUGAUUUACUUGAGAAAUUUUAGCCUGUGCCUCUCCUCAAAGCUUAUCUGUGGGACUCCAGCAACAAGGCUCAGGCUGUGUUGAAAAGUGGGAAGACAUUCCAGUCUCGCGCUUGUUGCCGAGAGAUGCCAGUCCUACCAAUAGCUGAACCGCUUAUGAUUUGUGGCUACGCACCAAGACAAGAGAUCAGAUGCAUCAAUCCAAAAUAUUCUGAAUUUCGUCACCCUUAGAUAACAGCCCUUCUAUGGCACAAGGCUAGGCUGCAAAGUACAUCGAGCACGAUAGCUCCUUCAGCAAGGAGGAGAAGCAAUCUAAAGCACUGAAGAUCAGUUGCAAGCUCAGCAACGUGGCGUGCAAGCUGAAGCUAAAAGAAUAAAGAGAAGCAGAGAAACUCUGCACAAAGGUAUUGCAGACAAAAAUUUAUGGUUUGUCCAGAGAAACUCUGCGGUGGGUCGCCGGCCGCGUCGAGAGGUGGUACCACGGCGAGGGCCUCGCGUGCGCGCGGGUGGUCCGCUGCUGGAACCCCGGCUCCGUCGAGCUCGCGUGCGAGGUGCAUGAGGGGGACAUCACCAGGGUGGAGUACCAGUUCGUGGAUGAGCUCAACAACGCCGUCGACGGCCACACCCGCAUCCCUGUCAUUUAGAGGGAGUUGCCCCACCAGCUUAGACCUGGACAUAUCUACAACAUCGGACCAGCUGAAUAAUCUGUGAAGCAUAUCAAGUUGCUUGGAUUAUUCUCCAGUGUCAAUCUGAUUACUCGCCCCGACGAGAUGAAAGAAGGCGGUGUGGUUGUUGAAUUUAAGCUUAGGGAGCUAGAACCAAGGUCGGCAGGAGUUAUUAUCAAAUUAAGUUUGUUUCUUAAUUCUUGAGCAUGAAACUACAUAAAGUUUGUAUUAACCAAUAAAUACUGUCAUCUUUAUUUCAUAAAGUUUGUAAUAUAUUCUGUGUUAGUAAAAUUGAGUCUAGCCGCCAUUUACAGGAUCUAGACUCAAUUUACAAAUUAAUGAUACCUGCAGUAAAAUUGGACACUGUAGGAAAGAAUGCUUCACGGCCUUUUGCAUCAGGUAUUGAAUGCAUGAUACCUGCAGUAUACUUCGUUUGAUUUAUUCAAAUUCUAAUUUACAAAUUAAUGGAAUGUUUUUGUAAUUCUUAUGGAUGAACCUUGCAUGUGGGGAAUUUUUGUCAAAUAAGACAUGUGAGGUGUGUAUUGAUUGUUAGUUUUCAUCCAUCUGUCCAAUUCCUAGCAAACAAGCUUGCACCUUGCCAUUACUAGGUUUCAUGGUUUACUGGCUAUAUGAAAUAGCAUAGUAGAAAAAUGUUUGGAAUGAUGUUUUAAACUCAAUAUGCUAUUUAUCAUACUUGGAGCUCCAUUUCUUUGCACUUUGUUUGAAAUUCUGAUUGGUCUAGCCCUCUAGGGGUCAAUAAUGCAGCAAGCAAGUGAUGUACCAUACAUGGGAGUCGGCGUGGCUGUCGAUGGAACCAAGUAUUGUCAUCAAAUUGUGGGGCCAUUCUCUCCUCCAAAGGCCAUGACUUGUCCUGAGUGGAUUGCCACUUCUUUCUGUUAGGCAUUGAAGCAUCUACCAUCUGGCAAGCAACCAUCUGAGGUGUGGCUCAUGGAACGAUGAAGGUAUGGCUUUCUCAUCCACUGCUGUGAAACAAAUCCAUCUUUCGGUUUACAGUCUUGUUUCUUGCUCUCACUAUUCAGUAAUUAUUUGAACGAUAGAUGUUUUAAUGCUUAGUCAGUAGCUUCUUUUGCACGCAAUACACAUCCAGGUCCCAUCAGUACUAAUUUAAUCACCAGUGUUGUGCAGAAGUGAUACUUUUAAGUAGGAAACUAGAAAUAUUUGUUAUAGCUGUAUUCAUACAUUGAAGUGAUACUUUUUAGAGAAUAUUGGGAACUAUCAGUACAAACUUUGCUUUGUCGAAAAGAUCUAUAAGAGAUUAACUUCAGUAUUGCACUGAGUUUUAUUUGACAAAGCUCUAGGAGAAAUUGAUUUCAAUGUGGCAGCAAAUUCUCGAGGUCAAAGAGCAUUAUUAGAAGAUAUUGAUAUGAAUCUGGAACUAUAAGAAGUGGAUGCUGAAUUUCCUAUCGGUAAUAUUUCCAUUCGAUGUAUCAGUAGAGAGUAUUGUACCAUUAUUUGAUUCUUGUUAUGUUGAAUGCUUUUAAAAUAUAAUAUCAGUUGAGUGUCUAUCUUUCAGUAGGAUCCUUUUUACAUCCCCAAGCAGUCAUUGAUAUUUGAGAGAUGGAUUACCAUGUUGAUUUUUCAAAUGUAAUUAAUUCAUAUCUAAAUUCCAAGUUGUGUGCAAUACUGCUUGUGGAAAAAUUUUGUUGGGGAGCACAGACCUGCUCCUUUUCCAAUGUUUUUUUAUCCAAUGAUCUGCAAUGAUUAUGAAACUGUUCUUUCACUAAAUUCUAGGCAGAGAAGGAUGAGCUUCGCAAUGAGAAGCAGAAGCUGAAACUAGAGGAGAGUUUAGAGCACCAGAAGAAGCUUAUCACCUCGACUCCAUCCUACAUGCCUCAUCCAACCCUGAUGCCAGCGCCCUUCCCACAGGCUCCGCUAACACAGUUCCAUCCCUAGGCGCAAGAUGCAGGGCAGAAACCGCUCCUGCUCUCCAUGAGCUUGAUGAAUUAGCUGUGAGGCGAGCAUACCUCUGUUGUGUCGCCUUGUGCUCGCCACAGACUCACUUGCAACUUGGGAUGGUAUUCUCAACCAUCGUCUGACUUGAGGCAUCACUUUAGGGGAUAUUCAUCAACAUCAGAGAAGUACACAUAGCACAUGGAAAUGAAAUUACUUGAAAGCGCCAUCUGAUGCGUUUAGCACCUGACACGCUGAACUUUGGUCAUUGUGGGUUUCGAUUUUGCUGACUGUGAGCGCGGCUGCUGCAAAGAGUUCGUGUGGCUGUCGACCAUCUGUGAAUGUGGUCCACAACGUUGUUUUUUAAUUAUACAUACAAACAAGGCAUGCAAAGUUUAGGUAAAUGCUGGUUCAGUUGACACUCGUACUUCUACUUGAUAUAUUCAUGCUGCUAAUUUAUCGAAUGAAGUUCAGUUGAAACUCAUACUCUUAUUUGGCAUUUUUCUGUAAUAAUUAUUUUUUAACA